rnacentral:rRNA from 1 species
UACGUAGGGUGCGAGCGUUAAUCGGAAUCACUGGGCGUAAAGCGUGCGCAGGCGGUUUGGUAAGACAGAUGUGAAAUCCCCGGGCUUAACCUGGGAAUUGCAUUUGUGACUGCCCGGCUAGAGUGUGUCAGAGGGGGGUAGAAUUCCACGUGUAGCAGUGAAAUGCGUAGAUAUGUGGAGGAAUACCGAUGGCGAAGGCAGCCCCCUGGGAUAACACUGACGCUCAUGCACGAAAGCGUGGGGAGCAAACAGG